rnacentral:rRNA from 1 species
CCCUUAGAUGUUCUGGGCCGCACGCGCGCUACACUGAUGCAUUCAACGAGCCUAUCCUUGACCGACAGGUCCGGGUAAUCUUUGAAUCUGCAUCGUGACGGGGGUAGAUUAUUGCAAUUAUUAAUCUUCAACGAGGAAUGCCUAGUAGGCGCAAGUCAUCAGCUUGCGUCGAUUACGUCCCUGCCCUUUGUACACACCGCCCGUCGCUCCUACCGAUUGGGUGUGCUGGUGAAAUGUUCGGAUCGGCCGUUUGUCGCGGUUUCCGCGUCAUGUGGCUGAGAAGUUCAUUAAACCCUCCCACCGAGAGGAAGGAGAAGUCGUAACA